rnacentral:rRNA from 1 species
GAUUAAGUUAUUAAGGGCGCACGGUGGAUGCCUUGGCACUAGAAGCCGAUGAAGGACGUUACUAACGACGAUAUGCUUUGGGGAGCUGUAAGUAAGCUUUGAUCCAGAGAUUUCCGAAUGGGGAAACCCAGCAUGAGUUAUGUCAUGUUAUCGAUAUGUGAAUACAUAGCAUAUCAGAAGGCACACCCGGAGAACUGAAACAUCUUAGUACCCGGAGGAAGAGAAAGAAAAUUCGAUUCCCUUAGUAGCGGCGAGCGAAACGGGAAGAGCCCAAACCAACAAGCUUGCUUGUUGGGGUUGUAGGACACUCUAUACGGAGUUACAAAGGACGACAUUAGACGAAUCAUCUGGAAAGAUGAAUCAAAGAAGGUAAUAAUCCUGUAGUCGAAAAUGUUGUCUCUCUUGAGUGGAUCCUGAGUACGACGGAGCACGUGAAAUUCCGUCGGAAUCUGGGAGGACCAUCUCCUAAGGCUAAAUACUCUCUAGUGACCGAUAGUGAACCAGUACCGUGAGGGAAAGGUGAAAAGCACCCCGGAAGGGGAGUGAAAUAGAACCUGAAACCGUGUGCUUACAAGUAGUCAGAGCCCGUUAAUGGGUGAUGGCGUGCCUUUUGUAGAAUGAACCGGCGAGUUACGAUUUGAUGCAAGGUUAAGCAGUAAAUGUGGAGCCGUAGCGAAAGCGAGUCUGAAUAGGGCGUUUAGUAUUUGGUCGUAGACCCGAAACCAGGUGAUCUACCCUUGGUCAGGUUGAAGUUCAGGUAACACUGAAUGGAGGACCGAACCGACUUACGUUGAAAAGUGAGCGGAUGAACUGAGGGUAGCGGAGAAAUUCCAAUCGAACCUGGAGAUAGCUGGUUCUCUCCGAAAUAGCUUUAGGGCUAGCCUCAAGUGAUGAUUAUUGGAGGUAGAGCACUGUUUGGACGAGGGGCCCCUCUCGGGUUACCGAAUUCAGACAAACUCCGAAUGCCAAUUAAUUUAACUUGGGAGUCAGAACAUGGGUGAUAAGGUCCGUGUUCGAAAGGGAAACAGCCCAGACCACCAGCUAAGGUCCCAAAAUAUAUGUUAAGUGGAAAAGGAUGUGGCGUUGCCCAGACAACUAGGAUGUUGGCUUAGAAGCAGCCAUCAUUUAAAGAGUGCGUAAUAGCUCACUAGUCGAGUGACACUGCGCCGAAAAUGUACCGGGGCUAAACAUAUUACCGAAGCUGUGGAUUGUCCUUUGGACAAUGGUAGGAGAGCGUUCUAAGGGCGUUGAAGCAUGAUCGUAAGGACAUGUGGAGCGCUUAGAAGUGAGAAUGCCGGUGUGAGUAGCGAAAGACGGGUGAGAAUCCCGUCCACCGAUUGACUAAGGUUUCCAGAGGAAGGCUCGUCCGCUCUGGGUUAGUCGGGUCCUAAGCUGAGGCCGACAGGCGUAGGCGAUGGAUAACAGGUUGAUAUUCCUGUACCACCUAUAAUCGUUUUAAUCGAUGGGGGGACGCAGUAGGAUAGGCGAAGCGUGCGAUUGGAUUGCACGUCUAAGCAGUAAGGCUGAGUAUUAGGCAAAUCCGGUACUCGUUAAGGCUGAGCUGUGAUGGGGAGAAGACAUUAUGUCUUCGAGUCGUUGAUUUCACACUGCCGAGAAAAGCCUCUAGAUAGAAAAUAGGUGCCCGUACCGCAAACCGACACAGGUAGUCAAGAUGAGAAUUCUAAGGUGAGCGAGCGAACUCUCGUUAAGGAACUCGGCAAAAUGACCCCGUAACUUCGGGAGAAGGGGUGCUCUUUAGGGUUAACGCCCAGAAGAGCCGCAGUGAAUAGGCCCAAGCGACUGUUUAUCAAAAACACAGGUCUCUGCUAAACCGUAAGGUGAUGUAUAGGGGCUGACGCCUGCCCGGUGCUGGAAGGUUAAGAGGAGUGGUUAGCUUCUGCGAAGCUACGAAUCGAAGCCCCAGUAAACGGCGGCCGUAACUAUAACGGUCCUAAGGUAGCGAAAUUCCUUGUCGGGUAAGUUCCGACCCGCACGAAAGGCGUAACGAUUUGGGCACUGUCUCAACGAGAGACUCGGUGAAAUCAUAGUACCUGUGAAGAUGCAGGUUACCCGCGACAGGACGGAAAGACCCCGUGGAGCUUUACUGUAGCCUGAUAUUGAAAUUCGGCACAGCUUGUACAGGAUAGGUAGGAGCCUUUGAAACGUGAGCGCUAGCUUACGUGGAGGCGCUGGUGGGAUACUACCCUAGCUGUGUUGGCUUUCUAACCCGCACCACUUAUCGUGGUGGGAGACAGUGUCAGGCGGGCAGUUUGACUGGGGCGGUCGCCUCCUAAAAGGUAACGGAGGCGCUCAAAGGUUCCCUCAGAAUGGUUGGAAAUCAUUCAUAGAGUGUAAAGGCAUAAGGGAGCUUGACUGCGAGACCUACAAGUCGAGCAGGGUCGAAAGACGGACUUAGUGAUCCGGUGGUUCCGCAUGGAAGGGCCAUCGCUCAACGGAUAAAAGCUACCCCGGGGAUAACAGGCUUAUCUCCCCCAAGAGUUCACAUCGACGGGGAGGUUUGGCACCUCGAUGUCGGCUCAUCGCAUCCUGGGGCUGUAGUCGGUCCCAAGGGUUGGGCUGUUCGCCCAUUAAAGCGGUACGCGAGCUGGGUUCAGAACGUCGUGAGACAGUUCGGUCCCUAUCCGUCGUGGGCGUAGGAAAUUUGAGAGGAGCUGUCCUUAGUACGAGAGGACCGGGAUGGACAUACCUCUGGUGUACCAGUUGUCGUGCCAACGGCAUAGCUGGGUAGCUAUGUGUGGACGGGAUAAGUGCUGAAAGCAUCUAAGCAUGAAGCCCCCCUCAAGAUGAGAUUUCCCAACUUCGGUUAUAAGAUCCCUCAAAGAUGAUGAGGUUAAUAGGUUCGAGGUGGAAGCAUGGUGACAUGUGGAGCUGACGAAUACUAAUCGAUCGAAGACUUAAUCAA